AGUUUCUCGCGCUUUCUAUGUCUCGAUCAGAGGAAGGACGAUUAAAGUUCAGGGAGAGGAAAGUCGGGAAAGGUGAAAGUUUUUGACGAAUUUCAACCUUCGAAGCGAAAGAAUGGUUAAUUUGGUGUUCGACGAUUCGAAAGCGAAGAGGAAGGGAGGGGGAAAGAGAGAGAGGGAGAGUCGAGUCGAGACGAGAGUACGAUUAAUGAGGGGAGAGGAGGGAUUGACGCGAGUGGAGAGACACGAAACGUUAAUGCCUCCUCUUGCAAUGCGUCCUCUGUUAUACGCGAUAAUUACGCGAAUUCUUUUUCUGCCUCUCGAUGCGAUAGGUGCAAUUUUCCAUGCCGAGGAUAACGGAUGAGGAUACGAAAGAGAAUCGUCGAACGAGAAUCGCAUCGAACGGAUCCAACAGGUAGAAUUCUCUUCCCUUUGUCGGCGAAUCGCAAGGAUUAUCUCCGGUUGGGGGAAAAAUCCGUUGGACGCGACGCACCACGGUUCACGAAAUGGAUGAUGGAAUAUCGGGCAGAGGGAAGGAGGAAGGUAUCCUGAGUGGUGGGGACGGAUAGAGACGACGAAAGCAACGAAGAUUUUUCUUCUCUCCGGUGGCAAACACGGGAAUUACCUGUUGUACGACGGGAUGGGUGGACAAUCCGUGCGGCCAUUUAUCAAAUUGAACGAGAGAAUCCAGCGAUGGACCCGUCGCGCGGUUUCCGUCGUUCGUCGCUGGAAAAAGGCGAAAAGAAGAAGGACGAGAAGAUGGAAGGGGGGAGACGAAAGACGUAGAAAAGUCGGUCCCCGACCGUGGACGAAAG